rnacentral:rRNA from 1 species
GAGGGGCGGGCUUGCUUUACACAUGCAGUCGAACGGAGUACCCCUGAAGGAGUUUUCGGACAACUGAUGGGACUACUUAGUGGCGGACGGGUGAGUAACGCGUGAGUAACCUGCCUUGGAGUGGGGAAUAACAGCUGGAAACAGCUGCUAAUACCGCAUAAUAUGUCUGUGUCGCAUGGCACUGGACAUCAAAGAUUUAUCGCUCUGAGAUGGACUCGCGUCUGAUUAGCUAGUUGGCGGGGUAACGGCCCACCAAGGCGACGAUCAGUAGCCGGACUGAGAGGUUGGCCGGCCACAUUGGGACUGAGACACGGCCCAGACUCCUACGGGAGGCAGCAGUGGGGAAUAUUGGGCAAUGGGCACAAGCCUGACCCAGCAACGCCGCGUGAAGGAAGAAGGCUUUCGGGUUGUAAACUUCUUUUCUCAGGGACGAAGCAAGUGACGGUACCUGAGGAAUAAGCCACGGCUAACUACGUGCCAGCAGCCGCGGUAAUACGUAGGUGGCAAGCGUUAUCCGGAUUUACUGGGUGUAAAGGGCGUGUAGGCGGGACUGCAAGUCAGAUGUGAAAACCACGGGCUCAACCUGUGGCCUGCAUUUGAAACUGUAGUUCUUGAGUACUGGAGAGGCAGACGGAAUUCCUAGUGUAGCGGUGAAAUGCGUAGAUAUUAGGAGGAACACCAGUGGCGAAGGCGGUCUGCUGGACAGCAACUGACGCUGAGGCGCGAAAGCGUGGGGAGCAAACAGGAUUAGAUACCCUGGUAGUCCACGCUGUAAACGAUGGAUACUAGGUGGUGGGGGG